UGAAUAUUUCUUGGAUGAGCUUUGAAGAAAAAUAAUUCGGCAGACCAGAAACUAACAGAAAGAGCAUAAAGAGAGGAGGGGCAGAAAUUAUGCUGUCUUGAAGACAUAAAGGCAGAACCUAUCAAGAAAAAGGUAAGAGAAGCUGUAUGGAGGAGAGAGGAAGUAUUUGCCAAGUUUGGUGCAAAAGAAUCCUUUGGAAAACAGGAAACGUAAACCUUGGUGAAAGCAACAUGACACAAGAAAAUCUAAUUGAGGC